rnacentral:lncRNA from 1 species
AAUUCAAGAUUUUGGCUGUGACUACCCUAAUUACUAACCUUUUUUUUUAUCUCACACAUGGUACACAUGGUUUUCAGUCUUGGUUGCAGCAGAUUAAUGCAUUCUUUUGCAUAAACCUAGCCAAUUAUUGACACCAAGAAAGGUUCUUCUGGAUGAGAUGAGAUUUUUUUUAGUACGGAUGAUAAUCACUAAGAAAGAAAUAUAUAUAAGUGAGGGGAGUUAAAUUAAUACCUCUGGUAAGUAUGGUAACAUCAAUCCUAUGCAGUGCAGCAUCUGAAGAGGAGCCCCAGGGCUCAGUCUGGAUGCUAAUAUAUUGAAUCAAAGGAGCAAUGUUUAAAUCAUUGUGCAUUAAUUCUGCAGAAGCAGAACUGAGGUACUAUAUAAACUUGAACAGGUACUUGUUCAGAACAGGAAGCAUGACAUCAAUAUACAAACUGCAAAUUUGUUGUUCACAUGAAGAGAUGAGAAUCUAACCAGUAGCAUGACAUCUAAAUAAGCUGCACAUUGGCUAUUCAGAUGAAGAGACGAGAAUCAAACCAUUUUUCAUUUUGCAUUUUGGGCUAACAACAAUAAUUCUGCCGCUAUAAACUGGAUCAGGCAUAACAACAAUUCCGUAGGAAUAAACAGAGGAAAUAAUGGCAGUUCCACAACAAUGAACUGAAGUAGAAAUCAACGACGCGUUCAAGUUUCCCAUCACUACUAUCAGAAAUUCUGAAGCCCUCAACAUGGCUAGAUAACGUAGAACCAGAAUUAUUUGGUGUUGUGCUACAUAAAAAAAAAAGAACGCUCAUUUCCUCUUCAUAUUUGAUUGGUUCAGUUUGAUGUAAUCCUACAAAUCACAAAAACAUGCCUUCAAUAUUUCAACUCAUUGAUUUCACAUUUCAGUUCUCAAUCAAAUAUAGUAUAGAGAAAGAGGACCUGAGAUUGGAGCAAUUAAAAACUAGGAAGAUUACAUGGCAUUCACUGAUCUGGUGGCUCAUCACUGCAUCUAGCUGCUGUUGGCCACCGCUGCCGCUGCCACCCUGCAAUGCAA